GAACGCUAAGCCACAGCGACCAGUACUCUUCCAGACCUCAGGAUUCUAUUCUUCAGCUUUUUAGAAUCAGAUGCGUAUUUGUUCCAAACUGAUGAUUUCAACUGAUGCUCUCCUGAUGCAUGGCAGACGGAGGUGCCUGUGUCUCUGAGAACACCAUGUGAAUCCCCGUGCCUGAGAACACCAUGUGAAUCCCCGUGCCUGAGAACGCAUGUGAAUCCCAGGAACAUCCUCCAACACACCAUUCAUCAGAGAAGCCCUAUCUGUGACCACAUGUUUGUGCUAAACAAGAGCAAGGUAAUGUUUGUGCUAAACAAGAGCAAGGUAAUGUUUGUGCUAAACAAGAGCAAGGUAAUGUUUGUGCUAAACAAGAGCAAGGUAAUAUUUGUGCUAAACGAGAGCAAGGUAAUGUUUGUGCUAAACAAGAGCAAGG
rnacentral:lncRNA from 1 species